rnacentral:piRNA from 1 species
UAACAAGCCUCAUGGGUAGCUUCUGUCUU